CUCCAGAGCUGCUUUGUGGUGGGGAUUUAGCUACAGACACAGAGCAGAUGAGCAUGGCCCCUGCACAAGGAUGACAUAAAUUCCUGAAGCUUUGCAUAUCUUU